GAUGAACGCUGGCGGCGUGCCUAAUACAUGCAAGUCGAGCGAAUGGAUUAAGAGCUUGCUCUUAUGAAGUUAGCGGCGGACGGGUGAGUAACACGUGGGUAACCUGCCCAUAAGACUGGGAUAACUCCGGGAAACCGGGGCUAAUACCGGAUAACAUUUUGAACCGCAUGGUUCGAAAUUGAAAGGCGGCUUCGGCUGUCACUUAUGGAUGGACCCGCGUCGCAUUAGCUAGUUGGUGAGGUAACGGCUCACCAAGGCAACGAUGCGUAGCCGACCUGAGAGGGUGAUCGGCCACACUGGGACUGAGACACGGCCCAGACUCCUACGGGAGGCAGCAGUAGGGAAUCUUCCGCAAUGGACGAAAGUCUGACGGAGCAACGCCGCGUGAGUGAUGAAGGCUUUCGGGUCGUAAAACUCUGUUGUUAGGGAGGAACAAGUGCUAGUUGAAUAAGCUGGCAUCUUGACGGUACCUAACCAGAAAGCCACGGCUAACUACGUGCCAGCAGCCGCAGUAA
rnacentral:rRNA from 1 species